AAUGCACGAAAGUGUGAAGGAGUGACGCCGCGUGCUAGAUGAAGCCCUUCGGGGUGUAAAUAGCUUUUAUAUGGGAAAAACUUCGAUGGUACCAUAUGAAUAAGGGGCUGCUAACUUCGUGCCAGCAGCAGCGGUAAUACGAGGGCCCCAAGCAUUAUCCGGAUUUAUUGGGCGUAUAGCGUUAAAAGGUGGUUCUUCAAGUCGGUUGUUAAAUCCUGGGGCUCAACCUCAGGGCUGCAUCCGAAACUGUUGAACUAGAGGACGGAAGAGGACAGCGGAAUUGCUGGUGUAGCAGUAAAAUGCGUUAAUAUCAGCAGGAACACCAAUUGCGUAGGCAGCUGUCUGGUACGUUUCUGACACUACUACGAAAGCGUGGGUAGCGAAUGGGAUU
rnacentral:rRNA from 1 species